CAGAAGAAAGGAACAGACUCUCAUUAAAUAGCAGAGAGGAGCUGUGCAGUUUUUGAACAGAGCCUCAACAUUGCCAUGGAAAGUGAUACAUCACCUUAAACAACCUCAACUGAAAAACUACUUAACAGUGUCCAAGACUUGGACUUACCAGCUGAUAUGUAACAUUACAUUCUUAGGCCACUAGGCAGAGCUGUAAAGCUCUAGUUUUAAACCAUUUUAAUAUAUGUACUUUCACUAAAGUCUCAAAUUUAUUUAAAUACAGCUAUUUGUAUGUCUGAUCUUUGCUGCAUUUUCCCACCACAAAGUUGCUAUCUUUGUGCAAUUUCAAAAGAGCUGUGUAUGUGCGAGUUCGUGUACAUGCCUACAGUGACAGCAACAAACCUUUCCACUACACAGAGAAAUAGUAAAAUAAAAUUUUAUCCUGAGUCCACAUAUCUUAUGGAAGAAAAAAAUAAAUGGAAAUAAAACCACCACUAAGAGUAAUGUACAUUUUAGGGUCUCACACAUCCUAAUCUAUUCCAAAUGGAGAACGAUUAGGAAAAUAAAUGUAAUUUUAACACCUCUGUGUGAACAUGGAAGAUAAAAUGAACUGACAAGAACUAUAGAAGGUAAACAAAGGACAUUUCAAACAGAUUAAAUUACAAGAAUGCAAAUAGAAAAGAGAUUUCUAAUGUCUGUCUUUUCUACAAAAAAGAAUGAUAUAAUCCGCUGCUACCAAUAGAUUAACAACUUAAAGAAUACUAAUGUAGUUGUGUGAAAAUAUAACCAAAUGUGUACAACACAAUUAUUUAUAUAUUUUGCAUAACCCUUGUACAUGAAUGUGUAAAUAAUUUGUAAUGGUUUUCCAACGGGGUAAUGAAUAAAGAACACAUAUUCCCUGUCA